GAGCAAUAACAGGUCUGUGAUGCCCUUAGAUGUUCGGGGCCGCACGCGCGCUACACUGACCGGAUCAGCGUGUGCUCUCCUUGGCCGACAGGUCCGGGAAACCCGUUGAACCCCGGUCGUGCUAGGGAUAGGGAAUUGCAAUUAUUUCCCUUGAACGAGGAAUUCCCAGUAAGCGCGAGUCAUUAGCUCGCGUUGAUUACGUCCCUGCCCUUUGUACACACCGCCCGUCGCUACUACCGAUUGAAUGGUUUAGUGAGGUCCUCCGAUUGGACCCGGUCCGGGCGGCGACGUCCGAGCCGGCGUCCGAGAAGACGAUCUAACUUGAUCAUUUAGAGGAAGUAAAAGUCGUAACAAGGUUUCCGUAGGUGAACCUGCGGAAGGAUCAUUA
rfam:Ciona savignyi cont_30693, whole genome shotgun sequence.